UGCUGUGAAGCAAUGUUUGUAAACACGGCUCACAAUAAAGGUCAAACUAUGUCGACUUCGUCAGCGUGCACCAGGCUAAUAGAAUUGUUACCUCUUUAAUUCUAGUAUCUUUAGUCAUUACCGUCAAACAAAACAUUGGGUAGUACGCAUCAUGAAAUUUGUCAUUGCAAUGUAUUUUGUUUAGGAAAUCUAUCUGUAUUUUGCUUAGGAGAUUUAUUUUGCUAUAAAGCGAAUUAUGAAUUUAAUUAAAUUUAAGUUGCAAAUCUAGAUUAAAGUAAAAUUACAAAUCUUCUAUUCACGAAAAUGCAUUUAGGAUCACUUAAGGAGUAUAGGAGAUAUUGGGAAUCACCGUUAUUGUUAACUAAAGCAAAAAGGCCGUCAUUUAAUGUAACGAGAAGAGGAUCAUAAAAAUAUGGAAAGGAUCGAAAUGUGAUAUAAUCUUUCUGCAAACUAGAAAGGCCCGGAUGCUAGUAACGUGAGUCGUAGGUUAUGUAAUGAUAAAGCCAACAUUAAAAACUAUUUGGAAUUAGGAAAAUGUGGCACACGUGGCGGUAUUGCAAGAUGAGGGUGUUAGGCGUUUUGAAGUUUAAUGAAGCUUGUGAAAUGCGAUUAGUGCAUGUGAUUGGCUUUAUAAUUAUAAUUGAAUAAAAGUAAUC